rnacentral:misc_RNA from 1 species
GAUGAAGAACGUAGCGAAAUGCGAUAAGUAGUGUGAAUUGCAGAAUUCAGUGAAUCAUCGAGUCUUUGAACGCACAUUGCGCCCCCUGGUAUUCCGGGGGGCAUGCCUGUCCGAGCGUCAUUGCUGCCCUCAAGCCCGGCUUGUGUGUUGGGUCGCCGUCCCCCUCUCCGGGGGGACGGGCCCGAAAGGCAGCGGCGGCACCGCGUCCGAUCCUCGAGCGUAUGGGGCUUUGUCACAUGCUCUGUAGGAUUGGCCGGCGCCUGCCGACGUUUUCCAACCAUUCUUUCCAGGUUGACCUCGGAUCAGGUAGGGAUACCCGCUGAACUUAAGCAUAUCAAUAAGCGGAGGA